CAGCAGCCGCGGUAAAACGUAGGGUGCAAGCGUUAAUCGGAAUUACUGGGCGUAAAGCGUGCGCAGGCGGUUAUAUAAGACAGAUGUGAAAUCCCCGGGCUCAACCUGGGAACUGCAUUUGUGACUGUAUAGCUAGAGUACGGCAGAGGGGGAUGGAAUUCCGCGUGUAGCAGUGAAAUGCGUAGAUAUGCGGAGGAACACCGAUGGCGAAGGCAAUCCCCUGGGCCUGUACUGACGCUCAUGCACGAAAGCGUGGGGAGCAAACAGGAUUAGAUACCCGUGUAGUCCCUGUCUCUUAUAC
rnacentral:rRNA from 1 species